GUUUUUUUGUCGACAUCGGCCACCGGCGCUACAUCUUUCAUCACCGCUUUUUUGCCUCGCCCGUCUCAGUUACAUAUAAAACGUAGACGAUAAAACGAAGAUAGGUUGACUGAGAUGGUUUUGCCAUACAUAUGUAGACCUCCAAAUCACUAUUCUGAUGAAUGUGCUACAAGUUGACAAUGUAAUAACCUCGCGGAUUUAAUGUGAACUUAACUAAGAAUAAGACUAAGACAUAAUAAUAAAAAUAAAGGGUCCAUAUAAAAUGGCGGAGCUAAAGUAAGGAAGGAGUUCAAUUGAAUUCCCUUCCUCCGCAAUUACAUUGUGCAAUUAGGGUAAAAACAAAUUGUUUUUACCUAGGAUUCCUAGAAACAAUUGAAUCCCGUUAUGGAUUCCUAGAUCGGUGGUGGUCAGGCUCGUUGCUAUGCUUUUUCGAGUAGACCCAAGGCGGUGGCCUCAGAAACUGUGAUCAUAUGUAUUGUUUUGGUUUGUCGUAGAGAUGCUUCUGUAUUGUUUGAUCCAGGGACUAUCUAUUCAUAUGUGUCAUCAUAUUUUACCCCUUAUUUGGAUAUGCCUCGUUGUUCUCUACUUCUCUUGAUAUUCAUGUUGUUCCUGUAUGUACACCUGGUGCUGAUGGUGAUUUUAUUGUGGUGGAUCGUGUAUAUCGGUCUUGUAUGGUUACUACUGGGGUUUACUUCCGCAUAUAAGUGAUACCAAAUAGUGGUGAUUAACUCUUUAGUUUAUUUUUGUUAUUUUUGUCGGGAGUCCUUAUAAUCUAGUUAGGACUUGUAUAUCAAUGUAGGAAUAAGGACGAGGGUUAAAAAGCCCCACUCGUCUUUAAAGUCGUUUCAGUUAGUACUAUUUCAGUUACUACUAGAAUGAAAUAAUCAUAUAACUGAACCUAAUCAGUUUGGGAUUGAGGAGUAGUUGAUUGCUUGAUUAGUAUAUGAGAAAUAAAAACAAACUGUACAAAAAAUAGCAAAAAUGAAAUUCAUUCAGUAUGUUUUAAUUAUGACUUUCUUUUCUGUUAUAAGGAUGUUUUAAUUUUGACUUCUGCCGCAGAAAGAAGCAAUUGCUCAGAAACCUUUUACUACUUUGUUUUGUUAGGUUUCAUUUUGAAUGUCUAAAGAGGAAAGAGAAAAUGUGUUCUUAAGAAAUAUGGAGUAAAGCAAAGACAAGAAAAGUAAUGUUCUUGUAAUUGUUUGUUUGACUACGAAAGAAAAGUUCAAAGGGAAGUAAAAUGUUUAUGUUACAACUUAAAAAUCCUUGUAGAUUUGCCAUGAAAAAAUUUCCUGCAGGGAAAUUUGAAAGGACGGAUUGCACAACAUUCCAGUUAUCCGAAGGCUAGGAAAAUGUUGAAUAGCUGACUCUUCAAUCCAGCUUUUUUGGAAUAAAUUGCACAGGUUAUGAUUAUGAAACUCUUCUACAGUUAUGCCUGUAUGGUAUAAGAUGUGAUUCUCUUUUGCGCAGAAAUAGCAGAACUUUCCUUUAGCUGUUUCUAUUUGUUCUCCCUUUCUCAAGUCUUUUCCUUGAUUGGUAUGACCAACUGGAUAAUUUAUUAGAAAUGAUUUCUAUACAGAGCAGGGCACAUUAGUUCA